CCUCCAGCUCGCCACCAACUAGAAACCAGUCCCGUCAACCACUCUUCAGUCGAGCAACGACCAUAACCAGACCAUUAGUUCCACCCACGUCCUCCUCCACCUGUCUCCAUCACCUUCAUCCCAAACAUUCGAUGCAUAACAGAAAACAUGGGAAACUUUUAGGUUUCCUCGUUCAUGAUCGAACGAGCAUAAGAAAACCAGAUUGAAAAGAAAAGUUUUAGGGUCUUUGUUCAAAGAUUCGAGGUUUCCGGGCAGUUUCGUGUUAUUAUGGGUGUCAAAAUUUCCGGGCAGAUCUGUUUUCAUUCGAG
rnacentral:lncRNA from 1 species